GUAGAUUCUUUACCAUCUGAGCCACCAGGGAAGCCCUCAGGGGAAGAUAAAGGUGGGAUGAACUGAGAGAGUAGCACAGACAUAUAUAUAUACUGCUGCUGCUAAGUUACUUCAGUCGUGUCCGACUCUGUGCGACCCCAUAGAUGGCAGCCCAUCAGGCUCCGCCAUCCCUGGGAUUCUCCAGGCAAGAACACUGGAGUGGGUUGCCAUUUCCUUCUCCAGUGCAUGAAAGUGAAAAGUGAAAGUGAAGUUGCUCAGUCAUGUCCGACUCUAGCGACCCCAUGGAGUGCAGCCUACCAGGCUUCUCCGUCCAUGGGAUUUUCCAGGAAGCAGCCACCAUCACAGGUGAGAGGACCACAGGAAAGAAGUGGUGUCACUGGAGGCUGUGCAGUCACAGGAAUGCUCCCCAGGAUGUAGAUGUGCCAACAGCCAAGGCUAGAACCCUCAGCUGGAGCCUUGUGA
ensembl:lncRNA